rnacentral:rRNA from 1 species
GACGAACGCUUGCGGCGUGCUUAACACAUGCAAGUCGAACGGUGAAAGUGGAGCUUGCUCCGCUGGAUCAGUGGCGAACGGGUGAGUAACACGUGGGCAACCUGCCCCUGACUUCGGGAUAACUCCUCGAAAGAGGUGCUAAUACCGGAUACGAAUCCUGCAGGCAUCUGCGGGAUUGGAAAGUUUUUCGGUCAGGGAUGGGCCCGCGGCCUCUCGGCUUGUUGGUGAGGUAGUGGCUCACCAAGGCGACGACGGGUAGCCGGCCUGAGAGGGCGACCGGCCACACUGGGACUGAGGAACGGCCCAGACUACUACGGGAGGCAGCAGUGGGGAAUAUUGCGCGAUGGGCGAAAGCGUGACGCAGCAACGCCGCGUGAGGGAUGACGGCCUUCGGGUUGUAAACCUCUUUCAGCAGGGAAGAAGCGAAAGUGACGGUACCUGCAGAAGAAGCACCGGCUAACUACGUGCCAGCCGCCGCGGUAA